UGAUGAAUAAAGUCUUCGAGGAAAUUAAG
rnacentral:piRNA from 1 species